rnacentral:tRNA from 1 species
GGUUCGGUAGCUCAGUUGGAUAGAGCAACAGAUUUCUAAUCUGUGGGUCGUGGGUUCGAACCCCGCCCGAAUCA